GUGAGUUGUUAUUACAAACUAAUUAGCAUGUCUGUGUCCAUGUAUAAAGUGAUCUUUUUGUAAAGAAACGUUAAACUGGUCAGCUACCCCCAUCGCCGAUAUUGACAAGAAAGGAACUUUCCCUUAGAUCAAUUAAAUGCACCUUUCUCAAAUAAUUACGGCCACAAAAUCGAAACUGCCAUUCUGUAGCUAAACUGUUUAAUUAAAUAAUAGUUUUAAAGCCUUUCACCAG
rnacentral:lncRNA from 1 species